rnacentral:rRNA from 1 species
UUCCUGGCCACCGAAUACAUUAGCAUGGGAUAAUGGAAUAGGACCCUGUCCUCCUAUUUUCAGUUGGUUUUGGCAGCGCGAGGACUAGGGUAAUGAUUAAUAGGGAUAGUUGGGGGCAUUAAUAUUUAAUUGUCAGAGGUGAAAUUCUUGGAUUUAUGAAAGAUUAACUUCUGCGAAAGCAUCUGCCAAGGAUGUUUUCAUUAAUCAAGAACGAAAGUUAGGGGAUCGAAGACGAUCAGAUACCGUCGUAGUCUUAACCAUAAACGAUGCCGACCAGCGAUUAGGAGACGUUGAAUACAAAACACCACCAUCGGUGCGGUCAUCCUUGGCGUUGGUCUUCAAAAGCCAGCGCGGGGGUGGCUUAGCCCGGUGGCACCGGUGAAUGACUCCCCUAGCAGCUUGUGAGAA